rnacentral:rRNA from 1 species
CCUACGAGAGGCAGCAGUAGGGAAUUUUGCGCAAUGGGGGAAACCCUGACGCAGCAACGCCGCGUGAUCGAUGAAGCCCUUCGGGGUGUAAAGAUCUGUCAGUGGGGACGAAACCUGACGGUACCCACAGAGGAAGCACCGGCUAACUCCGGGCCAGCAGCCGCGGUAAUACGGGGGGUGCAAUAGUUGUACGUAAUCAUUGGGCGUAAAGAGUUCGUAGGUGGCACGUUAAGUCUGGUUUUAAAGGCGGAAGCUCCACUUCCGUAGGGCACUGGAUAAUGGCGUGCUUGCAUGCGGUAGAGGUAAAGUGAAUUCCUGGUGUAGCGGUGACGUGCGUAGAUAUCAGGAGGCACAUCGGUGGCGUAAGCGCUUUACUGGGCCGUAAUUGACACUGAGGAACGAAAGCCGGGGUAGCAAAUGGGAUUAGAUACCCUGGUAGUC